rnacentral:rRNA from 1 species
UACGAGGGGGGCAAGCGUUGUUCGGAAUUAUUGGGCGUAAAGGGUGCGUAGGCGGUUUUGUAAGGCGGGUGUGAAAUCUUCAGGCUCAACUUGAAGACUGCACGAGAAACUGCAGGGCUUGAGUGUGGGAGAGGUGAGUGGAUUUCCUGGUGUAGCGGUGAAAUGCGUAGAUAUCAGGAGGAACACCUGUGGCGAAAGCGGCUCACUGGACCACAACUGACGCUGAUGCACGAAAGCUAGGGGAGCAAACAGG